UGGGGAAUAUUGCACAAUGGGCGGAAGCCUGAUGCAGCGACGCCGCGUGAGGGAUGACGGCCUUCGGGUUGUAAACCUCUUUCAGCAGGGACGAAGCGUAAGUGACGGUACCUGCAGAAGAAGCGCCGGCCAACUACGUGCCAGCAGCCGCGGUAAGACGUAGGGCGCGAGCGUUGUCCGGAUUUAUUGGGCGUAAAGAGCUCGUAGGCGGCUUGUCGCGUCGACUGUGAAAACUUGGGGCUCAACUCCAAGCUUGCAGUCGAUACGGGCAGGCUAGAGUUCGGUAGGGGAGACUGGAAUUCCUGGUGUAGCGGUGAAAUGCGCAGAUAUCAGGAGGAACACCGGUGGCGAAGGCGGGUCUCUGGGCCGAUACUGACGCUGAGGAGCGAAAGCGUGGGGAGCGAACA
rnacentral:rRNA from 1 species